rnacentral:rRNA from 1 species
AAACCAACAGGGAUUGCCCCAGUAACGGCGAGUGAAGCGGCAACAGCUCAAAUUUGAAAUCUGGUCCCCAGGGCCCGAGUUGUAAUUUGUAGAGGAUGCUUUUGGCGCGGUGCCUUCCGAGUUCCCUGGAACGGGACGCCAUAGAGGGUGAGAGCCCCGUCUGGUCGGAUACCUAGCCUCUGUAAAGCUCCUUCGACGAGUCGAGUAGUUUGGGAAUGCUGCUCAAAAUGGGAGGUAUAUGUCUUCUAAAGCUAAAUAUUGGCCAGAGACCGAUAGCGCACAAGUAGAGUGAUCGAAAGAUGAAAAGCACUUUGAAAAGAGGGUUAAAAAGUACGUGAAAUUGUUGAAAGGGAAGCGCCUAUGACCAGACUUGGGCCCGGUGAAUCAUCCAGCGUUCUCGCUGGUGCACUUUGCCGGGCACAGGCCAGCAUCAGUUUGGCGCGGGGGAUAAAGGCUUUGGGAAUGUGGCUCCCUCGGGAGUGUUAUAGCCCAUUGUGCAAUACCCUGCGCCGGACUGAGGUACGCGCAUUGCAAGGAUGCUGGCGUAAUGGUCAUCAGCGAC